CCGCUUUCCUCGAUCUUUCAUUGGCGCUCAUCAGUGUGUUGUUGUUGUUACGUGUGGUGGUUCUUGGUUAGUCGUGUGCAUUUUCCGUGUGCCUUCCGUUAUUGUUCGUGUAUCGUGCCUGAUCUUCGCCGCCUUUCCUUCGCCCUUCCCGCUCGACAUCGACGACGCGCGCAAAGCAGGCCAAGAAAACAAAAAAGAAACAAGAAAAACAACGCGCAAAGGAGAGAGGCACAACCGCGAUCACAGAGUCCAUCUUUUUUCUUCCUUUUGACUGUGUGUGUGUGUGUGCACGUCAGAGACGACCAUCGUCCCUUUGUGGUGGCGCAUGCACACGCACACAAUCAAGCAAACACGCACCCUUCUGCCGUGCACGUACUCUAUCUCUUUAUCUCUCCCUCUACAGACACACACACACAACUUGUGUGAGCUCUCUGCACCAGCGCCGUACGCUUGCUUGCAUUCGGCUUUUUUGAUUCGUAUUUGAGAAAGAUGUCUCUUGCGUUUGAUGAGUACGGACGCCCCUUUCUGCUGGUGAAGGAGCAACAGCAGAAGGAGCGUGUGAGCGGCGUCGAGGCGCAGAGAGCGAACAUACUCGCUGCACUCGGCGUGGCGAAUGUGCUGAAGUCGAGCCUCGGCCCGCGAGGCAUGGAUAAGAUUCUCACCACGCCAGACAACGAGGUAGUUGUGACAAACGACGGCGCCACCAUCCUAGACCUGAUGGACAUCGACAACGAGGUUGGCCAGCUCAUGGUGGAGCUGAGCAAGUCGCAGGACUCCGAGAUCGGCGAUGGCACCACUGGUGUUGUGUGCUUUGCAGGCGCGCUGCUGGAGCAGGCAACGGCGCUGCUGGACAAAGGCAUCCACAGCUCACGCAUCUCGGAGGGGUACGAGAAGGCGUGCGAGAUGGCGUGCAAGCGCCUGGAGGAGGUGGCCGAAUCCAUCUCUCUGGAAAAGAAGGAGUUCCUGCUGCAAACGGCCCGCUCGACGCUCAACUCUAAAGUGGUGAACCGUGAUCGCGACCGUCUGGCGCAGAUCUGCGUGGACGCGGUGCUUGCCGUGGCGGACAUGGAGAGGCGUGACGUGAACAUGGACCUUAUCAAGGUUGAGGGCAAGGUUGGCGGCCGCCUGGAAGAGACGUGUCUCGUGGAUGGCAUUGUUCUUGACAAGGACUUCUCGCAUCCGCAGAUGCCAAAGGAGCUGACAAACCCGAAGAUGGCCAUCCUGACCUGCGCCUUCGAGCCGCCAAAGCCGAAGACGAAGCAUACUCUCCAGAUCAACAGCGCCGAGCACAUGCGUGAGCUGCACGAACAGGAGCAGGAGUACUUCCGCUCCGAGGUGCAGCGCUGCAAGGACGCCGGUGCGGACCUCGUCAUUUGCCAGUGGGGCUUCGAUGAUGAGGCGAACUACUUACUGUACCGCAACCAGCUGCCGGCGGUUCGCUGGGUCGGUGGCGUGGAGCUGGAGAUGAUCGCCAUUGCCACUGGCGGCCGCAUCGUCCCUCGCUUUGAGGAUCUGACGGCGGAGAAGCUCGGCACAUGCGGCCGCGUCCGCGAGGUCGGCUUUGGCACCACGAAGGAUCGCAUGAUCUUUGUCGAGAACUGCCCCAAUAGCAAGGCCGUCACCGUCUUCAUCCGCGGUGGCAACAAGAUGAUGAUUGAGGAGGCAAAGCGUUCACUGCACGACGCCAUCUGCAUGGUCCGCAACCUGAUCCGCGACAGCCGCAUCGUUUACGGCGGGGGCUCGGCGGAGCUGGCGGCGUCGUCUGCGGUGCUCGCCCACGCCGACGCCGUGUCCACCGUGGACCAGUACGCCAUUCGCGCCUUCGCUGACGCUCUCGAGUCGAUCCCGAUAAACCUGGCCCUCAACAGCGGUCUCGACCCCAUCCGCGCCCUUUCCGAUGCACGCAAGGCGCAGAUCGAGGGCAAUAAUCCGUACGCCGGCAUCGACUGCAUGGACCGCGGCACGAUCGACAUGAAGCAGCAGGAGGUGUUCGAGACGUUGAGCGGCAAGUGCUCGCAGCUGCGCCUGGCAACGCAGGUGGUGAAGAUGAUCCUCAAGAUCGACGACGUCAUCGUUACGAAGCCGGAUGAGGAGCAGCAGCAGUAACAGGCUGGCUAACAGAGGCCGACGCAGCGGGGGGAAAGCGAGGAAGGUGUCGAGGGGGUUCAUUAGGAGCCCAAGCUGCCUUGCCGGAACCUCGUGGCUCCUCUGCUCCCCGCCCCGCCCUCUGCCCGACGUUCUUCACCUUUCAUGUGAUAUGCGUCUCAUAGAGGCGGCGUGAAAUGUUGCCAGCAAGGAGAACGGAUGAGGGGAGUGGUGGAUGGCGGCAUUGCUGACCGUCCCAGGGGCGAUGCCCGUAAAGGGAAGAAAGAAAAGACGGUGCGCGUGCUGAUUGAGAGAGUUUAUGAUGUUUGCCGCCCCCUCCCCUCCCCCACCACCUUGCCUCUCUCAUCGCGCUUGUAAGACCUUUGCGUUCGUGCCUUCAACGCUCGCUCGCGUUCCGCGCAGCCGCUCUAUGUCAGCGCGUGUUGGCGCGGCCGCGCCUCGGCAAUGGUGGCUUCUCGUGUUGCCGUGUGUUUUUCGCCUGCGUAGAUGUGGGUGUUUGCGCGCGCCUGCAGCAGUGAUAGUGACUGUAUUUGUGCGUGCAUGUGACGUUGGACCGCCUCUCUCCCCUUCUCUCGGCAGAGGGCGUGUGUUGGUGGAAAGGUAGAUUAUAUAUAUAUAUGUGUGUGUGUGUGUGUAGAGAGAGAGGGAGACACUGUUGUAACGUUACACCCCGUAAAGAGGGUGUGUCGCGGCGUUGGGGAUAAGAGCGACGGUAAGCUUCUCCUCUCUCGUUUGUUGUUUCUCUCUUGUAACGAAGAAAAGAAAAUGUCGGUGCAACGCGUCGCCACUUUGUUUCGGUUUGGGAGGGGUCUGUGUGCAUUCGUCCCGCAUGUAUGUGCGUGUGUAUGCAUCGGUCUACCAUAAAUAUAUAUAUAUAUAUAUAUAUAUAAGACCGAUACAUCCGCACACGCAGACAAAGGAGAGGGGGCUCGGGGAAAAACAAAUGGAGGCAGCGCCCCAUGCACGAAGCCACUCGUAGCGUAAAUG
rnacentral:misc_RNA from 1 species